UACGGAGGGUGCAAGCGUUGAUCGGAAUUACUGGGCGUAAAGCGCUCGUAGGUGGCUGAGUCAGUCGAUUGUGAAAGCCCUGGGCUUAACCUGGGAAUUGCAGUCGAUACUACUCAGCUAGAGUAUGGGAGAGGGCAGUGGAAUUCCCGGUGUAGCGGUGAAAUGCGUAGAUAUCGGGAGGAACAUCAGUGGCGAAGGCGGCUGCCUGGCCCAAUACUGACACUCAGGUGCGACAGCGUGGGGAGCAAACAGG
rnacentral:rRNA from 1 species